UUUUUAAAAAUAUUUCAAAAAAAAAAAAUGGGGGUUUCUCAAUUUUAUUCAAAAAAAGGGACGAAUACAGACUUUUUUGAAAAAUUUUUCAAGUAAUAGUUUUCCGCCUUUGAGCACGUAUGGAUCCUUUUAUUAUGUCUCGUCGAAAAUCUGGUUGUUG